rnacentral:lncRNA from 1 species
CCUGCACUAGAACACCCCAUGGAUUUAGGAGCCACUGGUAAGGUUAUGGCUUCCCCCACUGAAUGAAAUAAAUGGACUCAGGAAGGAAUAAAACCCAAGGUGUCCUCUUCACCAGCAUCAUUCAGAACCACCUCACUCCUCAGGGGCCACAGAAGUGCUGAAUAAAAUGAAAAGUGCCUGUCUUGUAAAUAAUCACCGCUCCCCAACCAGCCAUUCCCCAAAUGACAAGAACCAUCCUGUGGCCUUCUCCGCUCCCCAGCCUGGCCUGGCCUCAUUGUGCCUUGGAACUCUGUCCUCCUGCCUCACUCAAAAGGUACAUGAUUUGUAUCUUACUCCCACAACAGCGUGAUCCGAUGUCACCACAGGCGGGGACUUUUAAUGGGGUAUUUGCACAGUGAUUUACAACUUGAGGGCAACUGAUCCUCCUGAGAAAGAAA